GACGAACGCUGGCGGCGUGCUUAACACAUGCAAGUCGAACGGAAAGGCCCUGCUUUUGUGGGGUGCUCGAGUGGCGAACGGGUGAGUAACACGUGAGUAACCUGCCCUUGACUUUGGGAUAACUUCAGGAAACUGGGGCUAAUACCGGAUAGGAGCUCCUGCUGCAUGUUGGGGGUUGGAAAGUUUCGGCGGUUGGGGAUGGACUCGCGGCUUAUCAGCUUGUUGGUGGGGUAGUGGCUUACCAAGGCUUUGACGGGUAGCCGGCCUGAGAGGGUGACCGGCCACAUUGGGACUGAGAUACGGCCCAGACUCCUACGGGAGGCAGCAGUGGGGAAUAUUGCACAAUGGGCGGAAGCCUGAUGCAGCAACGCCGCGUGCGGGAUGACGGCCUUCGGGUUGUAAACCGCUUUCGCAUGUGACGAAGCGGGAGUGACGGUAAUGGGUAAAGAAGCACCGGCUAACUACGUG
rnacentral:rRNA from 1 species